rnacentral:lncRNA from 1 species
CUCGAGUAAAUUGGCCUCUGGUGCCAGAGAAAACAGUCUUUGGGUUCAGCAGGUCCCGAGGCAAAGAAACUUUAUUACGUUUUGGGCAGUAUCUAUCAAACACUGCCAGGUGCAGUGCUAUAUGCCUAACCUGAAUCUUCCCGGCAGAUGGGGGCCUAAACUCGAAAGCAUGCAGCUGAGGAUGAAGGCCAUGAUAGUCUGUUUUUCAUCAAAGGCUUGAGAUCACAGCAGCAGCAUGGAGCUGGAAGAACAAAAGAAGUUUGGGGCUCUGAAACAAACUGGGAGGGUAAGACAAAAGUGCAGCUGAAGAACUUGGAGAGCCGCUUGAGAAGGAGGAAAAGAUCAGGGAAGGAGGAAGUACACGUCCCCAUGCAGGGGAUGUGGAGUUGCACUCUCAUCUUGUGUGCUGCAGGAAGAGCAUCCAGCUCCAAAGCUUAUACACCAUGGGCAAGACGAAGGAAAAUUCCAGUUCUGAAUUUGCAGCCAGAAUUCAGGAACCAGAGGAAGGCGCUCAGGAGGUCAUACCUUUCAGAAGAGGUGCUCCAGCCCUUAUGGUCACGUUGAUGAGGUGCUGAUGGAGAGGUGGCCAUGUCACACUGCUGCCUGGGCCAGGAGCAUCCUACAGGUAUAGUCAGAAGCAAAGCUGUCUGUCCACCUGUUGACUUCACCAGCUUGUAGGAUCUGAGGGCUGUAGCCAUGAUCAGCAGCAAUGCUUUCCCCCAUGGGUAUGAGCAGGUGCAAGGGACAGCAGCUGCUACCCUUGGUAGGUACCAGACGUGAGAUCGGGGUUUUGGAUCCAAGCAUCCUUAGGAUUUCCUUCAUGAGCACUUUUGCAAGACCAUCCUACUUCAAGGCACUUCGAUGCAACCUGCCCUG